UUCUCAAGAGUGUGUUUCAUAUGUAAUUAACAUUUUCAACACAGUACUGAUUCAUGAAGUUUUUGUUUCCCUUUUAACUCGUGGUGGCAUGACUAGCCAUGGCACUAUAUCUUGGACACUUUUCUAUAAAUUUGCAGGAGACCACGGCUCUACUGUGAACUUUCUGAUUGUCCAGCGGAACUACUUCACCCCCCUGAAGAUUGUAACGUGAAUUCCACAUUGCCCUUCACUCUUCAGAUUUGUCGAGUUGAAGAUCUAACAGUUGAAGGCGCCAUAACUGGAUCUGUUAUUCACUUUCACUGGGUCAGGGAUAUAUUUGUUUACCUAUCUGGUGCAAUUAGUGCUUCUGGUCUUGAUAAUUGAAGUGAUAUCGGGUUGAAAGCUAAGCGAUUGUGUAGAAAUGGUCAAGCGACCGUUGAAAAUCGAAGACUGAGAAGGC